UACGUAGGGUGCGAGCGUUAAUCGGAAUUACUGGGCGUAAAGCGUGCGCAGGCGGUUUUGUAAGCCAGAUGUGAAAGCCCCGGGCUUAACCUGGGAAUGGCAUUUGGGACUGCAAGGCUUGAGUGCGGCAGAGGAGACUGGAAUUCCUGGUGUAGCAGUGAAAUGCGUAGAUAUCAGGAGGAACACCAGUGGCGAAGGCGGUGCUCUGGGCCGGAACUGACGCUGAGGAGCGAAAGCGUGGGGAGCAAACAGG
rnacentral:rRNA from 1 species